rnacentral:lncRNA from 1 species
ACAUGAUAGACAUUAUGCAUUACGUAUGUAAUCAUGCCACAUAGAAGCUGCAAUUUCAUCUCUUGUAGCAUUCAUCUCUGCGACACUUGCUGGAGAUAAAUCAAUAUUAGUAAGUGGCCUACUAGUGUCUCAUUCGUUGAUAACCAAAUCUUGCACAUCAAAGUCCCCAAAUAACGUAUCACUUGCAUUUUCUUGUCGAAUAAAAUUAUGUAAAGUGCAACAUGCAAUUGGAAUGAGACGUUGCUUAUGUAAACUAUAAUUAUGCAUACGUUGAUAAUUUGAUUAAUGGAUUAUAAUACAACAGAUUUGUUAUAAUCAAAUCUAUGCAUUUUCUCAUUUAACAUUAACACAAAAACUCUUUAUCUCAAAGGUACUUUAACUAAAUUUGUAAUGCGAUAAACAUACCAUAAAGAUCAGCAUGUGUAUUCCAGCUAUAAUAAACUGAAAGCAUGCAUGGUAUGAACUAGAGUUAGUGCAAUUUAACAUGAAGCUUGCUCGUGCAAAAUUAUUUUAUAUAGCAUUUGCAGUUUCAAUUUCCAAUUCCAAGGUUCUGAUUCCAUGCUCCCAAACACAGCAAUAAAUGUAAAUCCAAUUACACAUCUUCUUGGAACAACUUUUUGUGAAAUAAGUGUCAAUUUUUUUUUUUUGAAUAUUCAUUCUGAAAACACAUUAGACACGGAAUUAGAAAGCAGUUUAACUGCUUUCCAGAAACAAUAUUUGCUCUGCCAAAAGAAAAAAAAAAAAACUACUUCACAUUGACUCACCAAUCCACUCCUCCACUUUUAAUUAUAAAUUCCACAAUAAUCAAUAAUCAUCAGCACUAGCAGGAAAAUUACAUUACACGUUCAAAUUAUCAACGUAUUAACACUAACAAAUCUAUUGUAUUUUAAUCCAUUAAUCAAACUCAAAACCCAAUCAGCAACUCACAUAACAAAGAUUCCCAAGCAAAUUAAAACCCAAUGAAUGCCAAAUUCGAUUGUACGCAAGCCUUAGAAAAUAAUUAUUGUACGCAAUCAAAUUAAAACCCAAUCAGCAACUCACAUAACAAAGAUGGAGCUGAGAGAGCAAAAACAGUCAAGCUAGUUGGAUGGAGCAGCAGUGGUUGCAGCGAGAUGGCGGCUGGGCAAGUGACAGAUCCGGGAGAGCAAAGACGGAGCAGCAACGGCUGGGCUGAGACGAGAGAGAAAGAUGUUGCAACUGAGAAAGUGCAGAUUUGAGAGUGCAGAUUUGCUGGGCAGUGGAUGAAGAUAAGGGGAGGGAGGGAGUGCAGAUUUGCUGCAACUGGAUCAAGAAAGGUGAGGGGAAAGAGAGAACGGCAGUGAAGAGAAAAGGAGGAGGAGGGUCACGAUUUUCUUUUGUUUUUUAAUUCAUUUUUAGGUUUAAUUUGUAAUAUUUGCAGAACAUGUUUAAGUUGUUUUCAAUUGAUUAGUAAUAAUAAUGAAUCCGGAUUUUUUGUUUUGUAAUUUAUUUUUUUUAAAUUAACUCACC